UUUCUUCUCCUCUUUCACUUUAUCUGCAGCUACGUUAUUUCUUCUCUCUCCUCUGUUCUCUCUCCUUAAGUUCUUAUCUUAUUGUUCUCUCAUUAUCUUAAUUUGUGUGGUCCCAAAGUCCCCAAUUUCUUAUUCCGACUUAAACAAAUACUUGGUCUGCAGUUUUGUAUGUCAUCUAGGAAUUAAUUUUGUCAUAUUACAUAAACAUGCCUCAAAGUUUCUUAUUAAUUACACUUGUAGUCCUGAAGUUUUAUAUGUUCAAACUUCACCACCUGGGCGCCGCUACAAGGCCUAGGCACUCGAAGCUCCCUCCAGGUCCGCCUAGCGUUUUUUAGAACACUGUGAUUUUUUAAAGGUAGAAAUAGAAGUCGCUCUUUCAAUCCCUCAAACAGUUCAACAACUUGACGAAUAUAAACAAAGGAGCGGUAAAGAUUAGUCAAGGCAAGUAUAAAGACACGUACAACAGCAUGAUUUCCCUCUCAAAAACUAUUAUUCGCUGAUGCCUACAAGAAACAGAUUACGGAGAAGGUGUUUCUGUCAAAUAGCUCAAAAGUUCGGAGUACGAAUAAAUGGAAUUUAUGUGGUGGAAGGUGAUGCAUGGCUGUAUGAUAAACCUUUUCUCAAUCUACUGAUGAACUGUAGAGUUAUACAUCUCAAAUAGAUGGAAAAUCUGCAAGGAGACUAUUCAUACAUUCCAUACGGCAACGCAUGUCUGGAAAAUCUGCAAGGAGACUAUUCUUACAUUCCACAAGGCAACGCAUGUCUACAAACCCCACACUGUUUGACACACUUAAAUAUUUUAGGAUAGAUUGGUGUUACCCUUAAGCCAGUUACUUUCUUUUCAAGCAGAACUUAGGUGAUGAAAAAAAUUCUGGAAAAACAAAUAUUGCAAAAAUAUAAUACAUUAAGUAUA
rnacentral:lncRNA from 1 species